UUGAAAAGGCAAUGAGCAAUGUUUUGGAUUGGAGUGAUUUGAUGGUUGUAAGAAUGCUGAGAAGAUAAUUAAACUUUGUAAGCAAAUAUCAUUCAUUAUGGCAAAUCCAAGGAAGUUUAGUGAAAAAAUAGCGCUUCACAAUCAAAAACAAGCAGAGGAGACCGCUGCUUUUGAGCAAGUGAUGCGUGAAGUGAUGGGAGCUACGAGGAAUGCUCAACCACAGUAUCUACACCUCAGUCCUACUCUUGGCUCUUACAGAGGUGGGUCUCUUCCAAAUGUUAACCAGAUUGGAAACAACAGCAUUGAUCUUCAGAGUGCUCUCACCAAUCUUGAGGACAUGAAGCAAGGAAAAGAUCAUGCUGUAUCUGAUAGAAUACACAGAGAGCGAGGCCGGCAGAUAUCUCCUCAUCGGUCAAGGCAGUUUCCUUUUGAGAAGCAUAUUGAUGUUUCCCCUUAUGGAUCAACUGCUUAUCUCUCUCCUCCUCCAGACACUAAUUGGAGAAGAACAAACUCAGAUUCUGCAUUACACCAAAGUGCAAUGAAUCCACAAGAAAACAUUUAUGGAGUUAAUUCCUCACCUGUAAGACGAGUUCAUGACAUGGACAGUGGUAUGAUGCAUGAUACAUACAACAAUCACGUGAAGGAAUACUGGGACCCCAGAAAGCAACCACAAGAACCUCGUCAAGUAGGUUUAUCUCCACCGUCACCUCACGCACGUCCCAAAUCAUGUGAAGUUCCUGAUAUCAACAUUUAUCCUUCACAAGAAGAAAGCAAUUUAAUUCAUGUACCAAUUUCCAACAACACUGGCUCCUUGCCAGAUUUAACCAAUCUCCACUUUCCCUCACCUUUGGCCACACCACUGGAUGUAGAAGAUCAGUCAGGUUUGGUCUACAGCCAACACAGUCCUUCUCAAUCUAAUGUAGUUACUUACUCUCAUCUGUCUUCUCUAUCGCCUCAACAGCAUCAUACACAUGGUAUUGGUCCAAAUGUUAGUGGUGGUACUCUUAUCCAGCCCACAGCAGGUGUGGGUGGUGGAGGAGGAAGUCGUCACAACAGCCCAGGACCUUCCCCUUCUCCAUCCUCAAGACGCCGACAUCAUCACAACUCCAACAACUUGGUGAUUGGAAGCAGUAGCCUGCGACACCAUGGCCUCCAUUCUUCACAACAGCAAGUACGUUACACUCCCCCAAGACAUGAACCACCCCGAAUUACAGUAGAGGGCUUGACUAUCGACACAAACGCUCUCUCAUUAAACAACUAUCUGCCUCAGCAGCAAACAUUUGGUAUGUAUCCGCAGCAGCAACCUAAUCAGAGUCCACACCAUAAUUAUGGACAGAGUCAAGCACUUUCACAGAUGCCAGUGGGACCAUACCAUAACAACAGCAUAGCUGACCACUCGUCUAGUGUUCCUAAUUCACCUGUGUCUCAGAGUUUUUCCCCCAUCAAUUCUCCGGGCCUUGGACCUAGCUCAUCUUUGAAUAAGAGUCCAUUCACAGAAAAUAAUAACUAUUUGUUUCACCACCACCACCAGCAGAACCACCAUGCAAAUAUUCUACAGCAUCAGUUGGAACAGUACGAUGUUGUAGGUGAAAGUUUUGAACAACCUGACCAGUUUGUUAUGCAGUUGCCAAACAGAAGUAAUACAACAUCCAAUAAGGACGUAUCAUCACCUAAUGUUUCCAAUAUAUACCACACAAAUUUUGAUUCUGUAGAUGGGUCAGGAUCACAGGUAGCUGUGGAUGUGGGUAUGGGUGAAAGAAAUCGGUUUCACUAUGCUGACCUCCAAGGUGAAGGCCUGCCCAGACCCCAGGACAGUGUAGAUACCAACAUGAUGUAUUAUGGGAUAUCUUCCACGGGAUCGGAUCCUCAUCAGCAUUCUCCAACAUUGUACUCUAAAUCUACGGUCAUCUCCUCCGUUCAUCAGUCUUCGCCCCAGACCCCUCAAACACCAACCAUUAUUCUCACAACCCCUGGAGGAGAGGAGCCCCUGAUGAGGCAGGACUUUGCCAAAGACAUUGGUUCUGCUAUGGCCAGCAUGACUGGCUCCUUUGACACAGACUUUUUCACUCCCGAUGAUGCAUUACGUGCUGGUCUGGAUCCCAUUGACUUUGAUGGAUUGCAGAUCCUUACAGAUCCCGAUAUUUCUGUAAUAAGUGAUCCAGCUACUGAGGAGACUUUUAGGCUUGAGCACUCGUAGCAGUUUCUGCCAUCCAUGUGAAGGUUUGUAACCAUGCCCCUUGACACAGUCAAGCCUAACAGAUGUGUGGGGCUUUAACAGCUUAAUCAAUCAGUCCUUUUUUACCCUCUUCAGGAAUGUAAACAUAACUGUACUUCACUUUACCUUGUGAGUCGAAAAGUAGGGAGUGUUUGCCAUUGGCCAUUUUGCCACAUUUCCAUUUGAACUAUUUAUUUGUUUUUGUAUAAAAUGGAAUGGAUUAUUUUUAAAAAUAAGAAAAUGUUUGUUCUUGUGAAAAGAAUUCAUUGUUUGAAGAGCCUAGUAACAGUUUGUAAGUCCUUCUGAAUUUAGUGCUUGUAUUUUUAAAAGCUUUGUUUUUAAGACAAGUUAUCAUGCCUUAAGUGCGUGACUGAUACUUUUAGUGUACAUAGCUGUAAAUUGUCAUUUUUUUAGUGUUUAUCUCUUUAAAUUUUAGUAUGGCUAACAAAGCACAGUAUUAAAGAUACUAAAAGAUGCACAUAAGACUGGCAUUUAUUGUAUAAAGGAAAAUAUUAUUAAAAUCAACUGUAAAGAUGAUGUAAGAUCUGUUUAAAUUCACUUCUAUUUUUUUUUUUGAGAGGUAAAUCUCAGUCGUUUUCAGCAUGCAUUUUUCUUGGAAUUUUGUGUUGUGUUAAAUCUUUAAAAAUAGUGUUGUCAGUACGUGACUUUUAGCGUAAUUGUUCUGAUAAUAAUUGAAUAUUUUUUUCCUCUGGUUAUUUUUAGAAUCAGCUUGCUUGUUUUCAAUCUAUCUGUCAAGGAUAGCCUAAAGUUACUUUGAAAGAGCUGAAUGGAGCGAAAUAAGCAUUUUUUGAUGUGCUAAUAUGUAUGAUGGAAAUAGGAUUUUUCCUACAUGUGGGUGGUUAGUAGGUUUGGUUUCAUUCUGUCUCAGUCAGUGAGUAAAAGAGGAUGGCUCGAUUUGACAUAACCAUUUUUUUUAGGGUGGGGGAUCUCUUAUUAUUCAUAAGUAACUUUUUUUUCUUCAAUAUUUGAAAUUGAGUCUAAUCAUAUCACUCGGCUCUUACCACUGGUCAACAUAUAAAGUUAUAUUUCAAGGCUUUUAGUUGAGAAGUUUUUACAAAUAUAUAUUUUGCAUGUGAUCUGUGAAGCCACUUGAUUCCCUGUGAUCUGAUCGUUAAUUUGUAUAGCUGUGUACUUAAUACAUGGCUACUUGUAACAAUUGAUUCAUGUUUGGGACUUAAGAGUAGUGCACAGUUUUUGUUUUGUAGUCUUAUCAAAAUUUAGCAAAAGCAAUUAAUUGCAUCAAAAGCCAAAUGCAGCAAUGUUUGAAUGUUAAUUUAAAAAAAUAAGAAUUGUAGUUGCCUUUCAAUUCAGGGGAACUUUCUAGAAGAUGAUUUUUUUUAAACUGCAAGUUGUAAAAUGUUCUAGUAAGAUAAUUAAUUAAAUUUUUAAUAAUAAAAUAUUUUGUGUAAAAUACACUUAAAUUAUGACUGGGUACCAAAUUAUGUUUUUGAGCACACGUAGGAAGGAAGUUAAGUAAUGCCCGUUGAUUGUAUAUUUCUUAUAGUCUAAUUGACUUUGUCUUGGGAAUAUUUUUUGGGGGUUUCUUCAGAAUACCUCAAAAAUAACUAUUUGCUGUUUUAUAUUCAAUCUUUAAAUAAAACCUCUUAAAAUAUUAUAUUAACUCCUUUUAUAUCUUUUUAACUCUUGAUAUGCUGAGUAAAAUCUUGACCAGUUAAAAUAUUUUUUGAAAGUAUGUCAAAUUUACAAAUUCAAUUGUCAUUUGUCAAUGUACAGUCUUGUGAUAUAUUCACUUCAUUUUCUAUUGGAUAAAGUGUAAUAUUUUGCUUUCUUAUCGGUAGAUAGUAAAGAAAAAAAAAAGUUAAAUGUAUCAUAUUCAAUUUUCUCUCUAUAUUUUUUCUCUCAUCUAAUCUUUGCCUUAAAUGUUAAGGUACAAUCUCCACAUUGCUAUCGAACCACACAUGAUAUGUUUGACGUAAAUAUUAGUCACUCUUAAAGCCAAAAUAAUCUUCAUCCAUAUUCUACUGAUUUCCAACAUAGCCUAAUAUACCAGUUGAAUCACAAGCUCAAGGAACUGUGUUUUAUUAAUGAAAAUGUAUAGAGACUGUUUAGCUUCGUAAGCUCUGUAUGUGUAGAUAAUUUUGCAUUAAUGGAUUUUUCAAAUUCAUGUUUUUAGUAUGUACAUUAUGAACUAUAACAACGCUGUGUGUUAUGACCCAAUAUAAAUAUUUAUCUAAUGUGAUUUAAACUUUCAUGAAGUUUUUUUUAGUUAUCCUAAACAUCUUUCUUUCUUUCUACAAAAGGAAAAGAGCUUUUUAAAUCCUGUGUAUUAACUUUAACUUUUUUUUAUUUACAAUGAAAUUUUCUUCAUCUUAAAGCUAAAAGAUAAAUAUUUAAAAAUUAAAUAACAUAUCAUUGAAAAUAACACUUAAUAAAUCCUUUUCUCCAGUGAUCUGUUUUAAACUUUCUGUUAAUAACACGAGGCUAGCGGCUUCCCUCUUUCUUCAGUUGUUCCAAAUGCUAUUUAGAGUAUUGAUAAAGUUUAAUAUACUGCUGUGAUCUGAGGAGCAGUAAGGUGUCUAUGGUGGAAAUAUUGAAAGGCCUGGAAAAGUGUUAUUAUGAGUGAACUGGGUUUGACCUAGGGAUUAGUGUGCCAAGACUGUGAAUCUGAGGGUUCAUGUUUCUCAUCUAUCUCCACAAAAAUGUGCUCUACACUUUGGGACCAUUGGUGUGCUAUAAAAGUCCAUUACUCGACGAGAUGAACAUCCCAAGAGUUUGCAGAAAAUUUUUAAUAAUGCACCAGAGGUGAACUUCAGAAAUUGUGAAAACAGAUUAUAGAAUUGGAUUCAAUUUCAGCCUCUUCCUGGGUCUGUAGAAACGCAGCCAGUUUUAACCUAAUGUGACAGUGUUCAUAAAAAAAAUAAACUGGUAAAGUUUGGAGAACACGAAGGGGAACACCAUUUCUUCUUGGUUGUACAGAAUUCCUAGCUUACAUGACAGUUGUCUAGACUAGAGGAGGACUGAACUUUUUUGUGAGUAAAUAUUUUACCUCAAGGGUGUAAAAAAAAACAGUUCAGAUAAAUGUGUUAGUAAAUGCAUGUAAAUGGAACUAUUUGGCUAGGAAAGAGUCACUGAGGAAUAAGAAUAUGUAAAAGUUGUGAUUAUUGACUUGCUGAAUGAAGCGAAACACGUUUACAGAAAUAUUGUUGAAAGGUGAUAUUGUGGAAAUAACAAUCACAAAUAAACUUAUACCUUCGUUUUGAGGUUACUUACUGAUUAACUAUUAUUUUACUAUAUAUUACAGCUUUUACAAUAAGGAAGAUUAUUUUUUAGAACAGUUACGAAAAGGAAGGAGAACAGGAGUGUUUUGUUCACAGGUAAGGGGCGUUGAAGAAUAUGGUUUUGUGGUCGAUAUACUUUUUUGUAGGUGUUAGCAACUAUUUCCAUGUUUGUGCAGAAUGAGCAAUAGUUUGACACCGUUAGUCCAAAUCUGCACAAACGUUAAAAUUUAUGUAUGUGAGAAUGAUCGAAACGUAGUUCCUGUUCUGAAAAAUAAUCUUACCAUAAAAGUUGUAAUAGCAUAAAAUUUAUACCUUCUUUACUUUUAAAACCUGUGUACUUGAGAAUGGUCACAGUAACGAUAGAAAUGUCGUACCUGUUUUUAAAAAAAAUUCCUUACUGUAAAAGCUGUAACUUGUUAAAAAAAAACAUAAUAUAUGUUAUAACUUAACAUAGAAAUAGAAUGAUCUGUUACGUGUUUUCUUUGAUCUGUUACGUCUUUCCUCGAUUGAGGAAAGGCUUUCAAUAAGCUAUUGAAUUAAUUGGUAAGUAACAGCAUCUACUAAAAAGACUUGGUUUACAAAAAAUGAAAAUAAAAAAUGGUUUUGAAUGUAAAUUUUUCAUUAAUUCCAGAAAACAAUAUGAUUCAUUUCAAGAUGAGGUGGGGGUCAAGGCUUUAACUUUUGCUGAGGUGCCUUUUUGAUGACAAAGACUUGUUGGAAAGCCAUUGUGGGCCAAAAAAUUAUAAUGUCUAGAAACUGGAAGAGCUGUUGAGAUCUGUGUUCCCAAAAUCGAUCAUCGAAUCUUUCGUUGCCUAUUUUUUCAGAAUAACACGGUUUUAACCAUAUAUUUCCUAAUGAAGGGCAUCUGCCCAAAACGUCUCAAAAAAUACAGUUGUUAUGUAAAAACGUGUGCUACCCUAGUUCAGAAUUUCAUGUAAGAGGGGGGGGGGUAUAUAUGUGCUUAUGUCAGUGGAAAAAAUAUGCUAUGGAUAAUUCACACAUGGAAUCCAGUACUGGUCAUCUGUACAAAACUGAAUUAUAGUACACUUAAGGCAGUGGAAGAAAUAUGCUAUGGAUAAUUCACACACGGAAUCCAGUACUGGUCAUCUGUACAAAACUGAAUUAUAGUACACUUAAGGCAGUGGAAAAAAUAUG